rnacentral:rRNA from 1 species
ACGAACGCUGGCGGCGUGCUUAACACCUGCCAGUCGAACGGAAAGGCCCUGCUUUUGUGGGGUGCUCGAGUGGCGAACGGGUGAGUAACACGUGAGUAACCUGCCCUUGACUUUGGGAUAACUUCAGGAAACUGGGGCUAAUACCGGAUAGGAGCUCCUGCUGCAUGGUGGGGGUUGGAAAGUUUCGGCGGUUGGGGAUGGACUCGCGGCUUAUCAGCUUGUUGGUGGGGUAGUGGCUUACCAAGGCUUUGACGGGUAGCCGGCCUGAGAGGGUGACCGGCCACAUUAGGACUGAGAUACGGAGCAGACUCCUACGGGAGGCAGCAGUGGAGAAUAUUGCAGAAUGAGCGGAAGCCUGAUGCAGCAACGCCGCGUGCGGGAUGACGGCCUUCGGGUUGUAAACCGCUUUCGCAUGUGACGAAGAGUGAGUGACGGUAAUGGGUAAAGAAGCACCGGCUAACUACGUG